rnacentral:rRNA from 1 species
AUGCUGGAUGUUUGGCCUUGCAUCCGUCCUUCCAUGAAUUCAUGCUUGUGCAUUGCUAGUUAUUGCUUUUUUUGCAGGUCUUCUUCCUCCUCGAUCUGGUGCAGCAGCAACGAUUCAAGGUCAUGGUCACGGAGCAGUAGCCAUAUAUUUUUCUUCUUCUUAUUCUUCCCUGAGAUGAGUCUGUUGGUCGGUCUUCAAUUCUUCAGGUUGCUGCUGCUACUGCUACAUGAGGGCCCUCUUCAAUUCUGCAUCCAUUGCGGCCGCUGCAGCUUCCACCUCCAGAAGAGCACCUACUCCUUGUGCGGUUACCCGGCCACCUGCAUCCGCAAGUGUAAGCUCCCCCUCCCUCCGUCCUAG